AUGAUGUUUGAUGUUUAUGUUUUAGCAGUGAGGAGUGAUGAGAUGGACCAGCCUCCUACAGAGGUCAAGAAACCUGGAGAACAUCUGAAGAUCUCCUGUAAAAUUACCGGUUUUGACAUGACAGACUACUACAUGCACUGGAUCCUGCAGAAACCAGGAAAAGCUCUGGAAUGGAUUGGCAGGAUGAAUGCUGGCAGCAAUGAUGCAGAAUAUGCAGAAUCAAUGAAAGCCCGGUUCAAGCUGAGUGAAGAUGUUCAAGCAAGUACUCAGUACCUAGAGAUCCAGAGUCUGAGAGCAGAAGAUACUGCAGUUUAUUACUGCGCCCGACAAGCACAGUGAUUGGAACUGAAGAAGCAGCUGUACAAAAACAUCACACUGUAUCACUCAACACACUGAAACCUCCUCUACUGUCAUUCCUGCAUUUCUGUCAUUUCCUGCAUUCAAUGUUUAAUUCUGCUUUAA